rnacentral:rRNA from 1 species
UACGUAGGGGGCAAGCGUUGUCCGGAUUUAUUGGGCGUAAAGAGCGCGUAGGCGGCCAUUUAGGUCAGCUGUGAAAACUCGAGGCUCAACCUCGAGACGUCGGUUGAAACCGUAUGGCUAGAGUCCGGAAGAGGAGAGUGGAAUUCCCGGUGUAGCGGUGAAAUGCGCAGAUAUCGGGAAGAACACCCGUGGCGAAGGCGGCUCUCUGGGCCGGUACUGACGCUGAGACGCGAAAGCGUGGGGAGCGAACAGG